rnacentral:rRNA from 1 species
GCUCAGAUUGAACGCUGGCGGCAGGCCUAACACAUGCAAGUCGAACGGUAACAGGAAACAGCUUGCUGUUUCGCUGACGAGUGGCGGACGGGUGAGUAAUGUCUGGGAAACUGCCUGAUGGAGGGGGAUAACUACUGGAAACGGUAGCUAAUACCGCAUAACGUCGCAAGACCAAAGAGGGGGACCUUCGGGCCUCUUGCCAUCGGAUGUGCCCAGAUGGGAUUAGCUAGUAGGUGGGGUAACGGCUCACCUAGGCGACGAUCCCUAGCUGGUCUGAGAGGAUGACCAGCCACACUGGAACUGAGACACGGUCCAGACUCCUACGGGAGGCAGCAGUGGGGAAUAUUGCACAAUGGGCGCAAGCCUGAUGCAGCCAUGCCGCGUGUAUGAAGAAGGCCUUCGGGUUGUAAAGUACUUUCAGCGGGGAGGAA